GGAGUGCGCACUGAAUCGGUCUAAUCUAAAACAAGGUACAUAUCAGAGUGUUUCCCGUAUUCGAGUUUUGAAACCUCUGUAUAUACCUUUCAUUAGAUUCAACCGAAAGUCCAUAAAUAUUGA
rnacentral:precursor_RNA from 15 species